rnacentral:misc_RNA from 1 species
AUAAAUAUAAGCCACCUAAAUAGUAUGUACAAGAGAAUAAUAUUUCUUACUAUCAAUCGUCAGUGCCUCAAAUCCCAAAUAAGUUUGGAAUCGGCUACUUAAUAUACAACACCUAACACCUUAAACCCUUCAUCCCAACAACAAAAGUUACUCCUAAAUUAUUCCUGGCAGCCAAACACAAACAGUACUACAAUCAGUAACGACGAAAUUAUCUGCCUUGCCAGACUGUGGACUCGGUCUUAGAUCCAUUUUCCAGAAGAAAAGCCAGUUCUCUUAGGAGGAACUUUCAAGCCAAGUUCUUUACAUUGCUCUUCAUCAGGUUGUGAGCUCAGAAAUCCGGUCCCUACGAAGUGAACUAAUGCUGAUGCAUUCUCGAGUUUUUUGGUUAAGUUGAGUGAUGUAGAGAGAAAAGGUUCUGAAGUAGUAGUCUUUGGUUGAUUUGUAGGCAGCUCUGCUGCUUUCAGAAAGCGCUGGGUUGCUGCUUCCCAAGAAAGCGCAUGCCUUUGUGCAUUAGUCAAGGGGGCAGGCUCAUCAGACAAUGCCUUGAUUAUAGCUUUAACAAACCCCUCACCAUCAUCAUAUGUUAGACAAUUUGGGAACUGCAUGAAAAAUUCAUUUGACGGAUGGUUGGCGCAUACAACUAUCUUGCCCAUAGCUAAUGCUUCAGCCGAGGUUGUACAAACUACAUCUGUGGUACUUGGAUUAACGAGUACCCUAUAAUCGUGAAACAAAGGAUCUGCAUGAUCACGUCCAGGAUGAACCCUAACUGCCAAUUCCAACUUCUUAGCUGCCAUCUCAAUUUCAGCAGAAUCCUCACCACUGCCAUAUAAAUCGAUCUCAAAUCCAGGAAGUUCCUUUUGAUGAUCACGUAAAAGAUCAAGUAGUUCCUUGUACCCUUUGUUCCACAACUUCUUACCAAUGUAGUAGACACCUUUGCUGAAAGCUUGGUCAUCAUUUUGCUGUUUCUCUCUAGUUUUCAGCCCAAUCUGAAGGAACUUUGGAUUAACUCCAUGCACAUUGCAGACCACAGAUCUCGGUAGAUCCUGGGUUGCAGCAGAAAGCCGGAUGACCUUGUGGCAAUAUAUAUCGAUUACCCAGCCAUUAAUGUACUUUAUCAGGAGGGCUACCAUUAUGUUCCUCUCUCUCCUGACAAUCUCCCAAUAAUUGGUGUGAACAAUUCCAACAACCAGACGAAAUUUUUCUUUCCAUCUCUUUCCAUGAUGAUACCAUGUAAGAUGCUCGGGCUCCUCAAGGACUGCAAUAUCUGCUUCGUCAUCUGGUAUAAUUACUGUAAUAUCGCCCAAAGCAAGAAUGCUCCUUUUAUCUAGAGAGAACUUUCCGGGAUAAAAACGUAUAUUAAAAUUUGACUCAAAUCCAGUCCUCUCUUCCACCCAUUGACGGACAUGCUUUUCCUGCUCCAAGUGUGAAUCAAACGUGAUAUUAUUGGGAAACAAGUGUUCCUGAUCUACCAGCGGCAGCCAGGGAACAACCAACGUGACCUGCAUCCUACCAUCUUUUGCAAGAUAGGCCGCACGAAACAGAGGAUUGACAGCUGUUCCAGUUAGCCAUGGGAUGCUUGCAGUAGUAAAUAUGGCAAUGUGCUGGUUCUUCUCCAUCUAUGGAUG